UGCCCUUCCUCCGUCCAAACUGGGGUAGGGGCUGGAAGAUGGCCACCUCUUCCCUGCCUCACAUUCUGACUUACGUAUCAACAUGUCAUUUUCCGACAUCAGUUUUUCAAGGGAAAGAUCAUUAAGGAGAAGGGGGCAAGGUAGAGAUUAAAAGGGCAGAUGCAUGGAGAGAGACCGGGUAGGUAAGGAGAGCUGGAGACAUUGAGACGGGGCAGUGAUCCCUGUGUCCUUUCUCUGACUGGAAAGUCUGGGUCUUUGAGCAAUGAGAGCCGGAGGGAAACAGAAGGUCCAUGGUGCCAGGGGCUUUUCUUACCCACAGAAACUUCCCUGAUUUAUUUUUCACCUGAGUUCCAGGUCCUCCCUGUACUCUUGUCUGGCCUUCUCUACAUCCUUUUGAACCUGUUUCACAUGGGGUGUUGCAGAAUAAGCAGGGGUUGCCUUGAUUUCCAGAGGAGAGAGUACUCUGGAUAAGGCCUGCAGGAACCGGAGGAAGAGGGUGUUGCAAGCCAAAUUUCAUCAUCGGCGGCAGCCCCAACAGAGGGAGGAGGAGGCGAGGGGCAAACAGACGGCAGAGGCAGCAGCGCUGGCGCAGAAAGGGGAGCUGUUUGGAAACAGGGUGUAGGGUGGCCCUAUCAGCCUCGUCACGCAUAAGGCUGGCUGUGGAGAGCUGGAACUCUCUGCCCACGUGGAACACGCGUGAGCACACGUGUGUGACACCUAGAGCUUGGGGGCACACGGGCACACACUUCUUUAGAAGCUGACAGCAUCCUGAUCCUUGCCUAGCAUCGGUCUCGAAAAGAGCCCCCCCCCCAAAAAAAAAAAAAAAAAACCCAACGUUGACUGACUGGUGAAUGUUGAUGGUCUAAGCAGACACAGCGCCACAUGCUCUUAGAAUCUGGUUCUGCCAGCUCCUUGCCAUCUGCCCCGUGGGCCCUGGCACGUGCCCACUUCUGGCUCCUUUCAUUUUGGGGGUU
rnacentral:lncRNA from 1 species